rnacentral:sRNA from 1 species
GGAUUCCCCUAGUAACUGCGAGUGAAGCGGGAAAAGCUCAAAUUUAAAAUCUGGCGGUCCCUGUGGUCGUCCGAGUUGUAAUUUAGAGAAGCGUUAUCCGCGCUGGACCGUACACAAGUCUCCUGGAAUGGAGCGUCAUAGAGGGUGAGAAUCCCGUCUUUGGUACGGACUGCCAGGGCAUUGUGAUGCGCUCUCAAAGAGUCGAGUUGUUUGGGAAUGCAGCUCAAAACGGGUGGUAAAUUCCAUCUAAAGCUAAAUAUUGAGGAGAGACCGAUAGCGAACAAGUACCGUGAGGGAAAGAUGAAAAGAACUUUGGAAAGAGAGUUAAACAGUACGUGAAAUUGCUGAAAGGGAAACGCUUGAAGUCAGUCGCGUCGUCCAGGACUCAGCCUUGCUUUUGCUUGGUGUACUUCUUGUUCGACGGGUCAACAUCAAUUUUGGUCGGUGGAUAAAGGCUUAGAGAAUGUGGCAUCUUCGGAUGUGUUAUAGCUCUGGGUCGCAUACAUCGGCUGGGAUUGAGGAACUCAGCACGCCGCAAGGCCGGGUACUUGUACCACGUACGUGCUUAGGAUGUUGGCAUAAUGGCUUUAAUCGACCCG